GACGAACGCUGGCGGCGUGCUUAACACAUGCAAGUCGAGCGGUAAGGCCCUUUCGGGGGUACACGAGCGGCGAACGGGUGAGUAACACGUGGGUGACCUGCCCUCAGCUCUGGGAUAAGCCUGGGAAACCGGGUCUAAUACUGGAUAUGACUCCAUGACGCAUGUUGUGGGGUGGAAAGCCUUGUGCGGCUGAGGAUGGGCCCGCGGCCUAUCAGCUUGUUGGUGGGGUGANGGCCUACCAAGGCGACGACGGGUAGCCGGCCUGAGAGGGCGACCGGCCACACUGGGACUGAGACACGGCCCAGACUCCUACGGGAGGCAGGCAGUGGGGAAUCUUGCGCAAUGGGCGAAAGCCUGACGCAGCGACGCCGCGUGAGGAUGAC
rnacentral:rRNA from 1 species